rnacentral:rRNA from 1 species
UACGUAGGGACCAAGCGUUGUUCGGAUUUACUGGGCGUAAAGGGCGCGUAGGCGGCGUGGUAAGUCACUUGUGAAAUCUCUGAGCUUAACUCAGAACGGCCAAGUGAUACUGCUGUGCUAGAGUGCAGAAGGGGCAAUCGGAAUUCUUGGUGUAGCGGUGAAAUGCGUAGAUAUCGGGAGGAACACCAGUGGCGAAGGCGGCGAUCUGGGAAGAUACCGACGCUGAGGUGCGAAAGCGUGGGGAGCAAACAGG